UGGGGAAUUUUUGACAAUGGGGGAAACCCUGAUCCAGCCAUCCCGCGUGUGCGAUGAAGGCCUUCGGGUUGUAAAGCACUUUUGGCAGGAAAGAAACGUCAUGGGUUAAUACCCCGUGAAACUGACGGUACCUGCAGAAUAAGCACCGGCUAACUACGUGCCAGCAGCCGCGGUAAUACGUAGGGUGCAAGCGUUAAUCGGAAUUACUGGGCGUAAAGCGUGCGCAGGCGGUUCGGAAAGAAAGAUGUGAAAUCCCAGAGCUCAACUUUGGAACUGCAUUUUUAACUACCGGGCUAGAGUGUGUCAGAGGGAGGUGGAAUUCCGCGUGUAGCAGUGAAAUGCGUAGGUAUGCGGAGGAACACCGAUGGCGAAGGCAGCCUCCUGGGAUAACACUGACGCUCAUGCACGAAAGCGUGGGGAGCAAACAGG
rnacentral:rRNA from 1 species